GAUGAACGCUGGCGGCGUGCCUAAUACAUGCAAGUCGAGCGAACGGACGAGAAGCUUGCUUCUCUGAUGUUAGCGGCGGACGGGUGAGUAACACGUGGAUAACCUACCUAUAAGACUGGGAUAACUUCGGGAAACCGGAGCUAAUACCGGAUAAUAUUUUGAACCGCAUGGUUCAAAAGUGAAAGACGGUCUUGCUGUCACUUAUAGAUGGAUCCGCGCUGCAUUAGCUAGUUGGUAAGGUAACGGCUUACCAAGGCAACGAUGCAUAGCCGACCUGAGAGGGUGAUCGGCCACACUGGAACUGAGACACGGUCCAGACUCCUACGGGAGGCAGCAGUAGGGAAUCUUCCGCAAUGGGCGAAAGCCUGACGGAGCAACGCCGCGUGAGUGAUGAAGGUCUUCGGAUCGUAAAACUCUGUUAUUAGGGAAGAACAUAUGUGUAAGUAACUGUGCACAUCUUGACGGUACCUAAUCAGAAAGCCACGGCUAACUACGUGCCAGCAGCCGCGGUAAUACGUAGGUGGCAAGCGUUAUCCGGAAUUAUUGGGCGUAAAGCGCGCGUAGGCGGUUUUUUAAGUCUGAUGUGAAAGCCCACGGCUCAACCGUGGAGGGUCAUUGGAAACUGGAAAACUUGAGUGCAGAAGAGGAAAGUGGAAUUCCAUGUGUAGCGGUGAAAUGCGCAGAGAUAUGGAGGAACACCAGUGGCGAAGGCGACUUUCUGGUCUGUAACUGACGCUGAUGUGCGAAAGCGUGGGGAUCAAACAGGAUUAGAUACCCUGGUAGUCCACGCCGUAAACGAUGGGUGCUAAGUGUUAGGGGGUUUCCGCCCCUUAGUGCUGCAGCUAACGCAUUAAGCACUCCGCCUGGGGAGUACGACCGCAAGGUUGAAACUCAAAGGAAUUGACGGGGACCCGCACAAGCGGUGGAGCAUGUGGUUUAAUUCGAAGCAACGCGAAGAACCUUACCAAAUCUUGACAUCCUUUGACAACUCUAGAGAUAGAGCUUUCCCCUUCGGGGGACAAAGUGACAGGUGGUGCAUGGUUGUCGUCAGCUCGUGUCGUGAGAUGUUGGGUUAAGUCCCGCAACGAGCGCAACCCUUAAGCUUAGUUGCCAUCAUUAAGUUGGGCACUCUAAGUUGACUGCCGGUGACAAACCGGAGGAAGGUGGGGAUGACGUCAAAUCAUCAUGCCCCUUAUGAUUUGGGCUACACACGUGCUACAAUGGACAAUACAAAGGGCAGCGAAACCGCGAGGUCAAGCAAAUCCCAUAAAGUUGUUCUCAGUUCGGAUUGUAGUCUGCAACUCGACUACAUGAAGCUGGAAUCGCUAGUAAUCGUAGAUCAGCAUGCUACGGUGAAUACGUUCCCGGGUCU
rnacentral:rRNA from 1 species